rnacentral:misc_RNA from 1 species
UUUCCGUAGGUGAACCUGCGGAAGGAUCAUUAUUGUAUAACCGAGGUGCGAGGGCUGUCGCUGACCCGAAAGGUCGUGCACGCCCGAGUGCCCUCACACGCAUCCAUCUCACCCCUAAGUGCACCACCGCGUGGGUCCCCCUUUGGCUUGUUCGGAGGGGGGCUUACGUUUUCACACAAACUUUGUAUGCAGUGUAGAAUGUAUUUUUUGUUUUUGCGAUCACGCAAUCAAUACAACUUUCAACAACGGAUCUCUUGGCUCUC